ACGUGGGUAACCUACCUAUAAGAACUNGGAUAACUCCGGAAAACCGGGGCUAAUACCGNAUAAUAUUUUGAACCGCAUGGUUCAAUAGUGAAAGACGGUUUCGGCUGUCACUUAUAGAUGGACCCGCGCCGUAUUAGCUAGUUGGUAAGGUAACGGCUUACCAAGGCGACGAUACGUAGCCGACCUGANAGGGUGAUCGNCCACACUGGAACUGAGACACGGUCCAGACUCCUACGGGAGGCAGCAGUAGGGAAUCUUCCGCAAUGGGCGAAAGCCUGACGGAGCAACGCCGCGUGAGUGAUGAAGGUCUUCGGAUCGUAAAACUCUGUUGUUAGGGAAGAACAAAUUUGUUAGUAACUACACAAGUCUNA
rnacentral:rRNA from 2 species